rnacentral:rRNA from 1 species
UACAGAGGUCUCAAGCGUUUGUUCGGAUUCAUUGGGCGUAAAGGGUGCGUAGGUGGCGCCGUAAGUCAGGUGUGAAAUCUCGGGGCUCAACCCCGAAACUGCACUUGAUACUGCGGUGCUCGAGUACUGGAGAGGAGAUUGGAAUUUACGGUGUAGCAGUGAAAUGCGUAGAUAUCGUAAGGAAGACCAGUGGCGAAGGCGAAUCUCUGGACAGUUACUGACAC